AUACGGAGGAUCCGAGCGUUAUCCGGAUUUAUUGGGUUUAAAGGGAGCGUAGGCGGAUUAUUAAGUCAGUUGUGAAAGUUUGCGGCUCAACCGUAAAAUUGCAGUUGAUACUGGUAGUCUUGAGUGCAGCAGAGGUAGGCGGAAUUCGUGUUGUAGCGGUGGAAUGCUUAGAUAUCACGAAGAACUCCGAUUGCGAAGGCAGCUUACUGGACUGUAACUGACGCUGAUGCUCGAAAGUGUGGGUAUCAAACAGGAUUAGAUACCCUGGUAGUCCACACAGUAAACGAUGAAUACUCGCUGUUUGCGAUAUACAGCAAGCGGCCAAGCGAAAGCAUUAAGUAUUCCACCUGGGGAGUACGCCGGCAACGGUGAAACUUAAAGGAAUUGACGGGG
rnacentral:rRNA from 1 species